CCUACGGGAGGCAGCAGUAGGGAAUUUUGCGCAAUGGGGGAAACCCUGACGCAGCAACACCGCGUGAAUGUUAAGCCCUUCGGGGUGUAAAGUUCUGUCAAUAGGGACGAAUUUUGACUGUACCUAUAAAGGAAGCACCGGAUAACUCCGUGCCAGAAGCCGCGGUAAUACGGGGGGUGCAAGGUUUGUCUGGAAUAAUGGGGCGUAAAGCGUUCGUAGGCGGUAUGUCAAGUCUGAUGUUAAAGCCCCGGGCUAAACUCCGGUUCGGCAUUGGAUACUGGCAAACUAGAAUGUGUUAGAGGUAAAGGGAAUUCCUGGUGUAGCGGUGAAAUGCGUAGAUAUCAGGAGGAACAUCGAUGGCGAAAGCGCUUUACUGGACCAUUAUUGACGCUGAGGAACGAAAGCCAGGGGAGCAAAUGGGAUUAGAUACCCUAGUAGUC
rnacentral:rRNA from 1 species